UACGUAGGGUGCAAGCGUUGUCCGGAAUUAUUGGGCGUAAAGAGCUCGUAGGCGGUCUGUCGCGUCGGCUGUGAAAACCUGGGGCUCAACCCCAGGCCUGCAGUCGAUACGGGCAGACUAGAGUCCGGCAGGGGAGACUGGAAUUCCUGGUGUAGCGGUGAAAUGCGCAGAUAUCAGGAGGAACACCGGUGGCGAAGGCGGGUCUCUGGGCCGGAACUGACGCUGAGGAGCGAAAGCGUGGGGAGCGAACAGG
rnacentral:rRNA from 1 species